UACAGAGGUCUCAAGCGUUGUUCGGAUUCAUUGGGCGUAAAGGGUGCGUAGGCGGUGAGGUAAGUCUGGUGUGAAAUCCCGGGGCUCAACCCCGGAACUGCACUGGAUACUGCCUUACUUGAGCACUGGAGAGGGAACUGGAAUUUACGGUGUAGCAGUGAAAUGCGUAGAUAUCGUAAGGAAGACCAGCGGCGAAGGCGAGUUCCUGGACAGUUGCUGACGCUGAGGCACGAAGGCCAGGGGAGCAAACGGG
rnacentral:rRNA from 1 species